ACGAAGGACGAUCGGCUGUGAACUUGCGAAGAUGACUGCAGCACUAUGUCAAAUUGAAAAGAGCCCUGAUCUAUCCUAUAUGGAUUACGAUUGGAGGGCUUCUACUUUAAAGUCUUGUGGAGAUCACUCAAUUAUCAGAUCCUCAUCUUCAUGUUUGGUAUAUGACAUCUGAGCUCUUAUUAAUAUGCAUGCUUAUAUUAUUUGAUUGUAAUCAUCAAGGUGUUCCUAAGAUUUUUUGAGUUUCGAUAGUCAUGUUUAAUUGUUAAACUUAUUUUCAAUAGUUGAAUGCAUG
rnacentral:lncRNA from 1 species